rnacentral:rRNA from 1 species
UACGUAGGAUGCAAGCGUUGUCCGGAUUUACUGGGCGUAAGCGCGCGCAGGCGGCAUGGCAAGUAAGGUGUGAAAUCUCCUGGCUCAACCGGGAGGGUGCACUUUAGACUGCCAAGCGUUGAGGUCGGUAGAGGGGGGUAGAAUUGCUGGUGUAAGCGGUGAAUGCGUAGAGAUCAGCAGGAAUACCGUGCGAAGGCCGGCCCCUGGGCCGUACCUGACGCUGAGGCGCGAAGGGAGCUAGGGGAGCGAACGGG